rnacentral:lncRNA from 1 species
GGAUGAAGAAAAUGUGGUACAUAUACUCCAUGGAAUACUGUGCAGUCAUUAAAAAAAACAAGAUCAUGUCCUUUGCAGGAACAUGGAUGGAGCUGGAAGCCAUAAUCCUCAGCAAACUAAUGCAGGAACAGGAAACCAAAUACUGUAUAUUCUCACUUAAACGCCGGCUUGAAGGGCUGGGCUGUCAAGCUUUGAUACGCAAAUGCAAGCCAUUCGAAACUGGGUUCACCCAAUAUGGUGAUUCCUGCCCUCUUCUUACCACCAUCUGCGCCAAGUGUGAUGGUCACCUCCAGAUAACACCAUGUGUUCAAAACAUCGACGACCCACAUUUGCGUAUUAACGGACUAAGUUAGGAGGGCCAGGUUUUUGGCAAGCUACGUGAAUGACACACCUGGUCGAACCAAUCCUCUGGGCCCUAUGCAAACAAGACACCCCCUCCCCCAGCCUCCUGAUAUAAUGAACUACCUUUCUGUCACACACGGGUUUCUCUUUGUUCCAAGUCCCCCGCUCUUGCCUCUGUAUGGGAGAGCUGUUCUCUUCCUUCUUCCUUCUUUCUUGCCUAUUAAACUUUUCGCUCCUUAAAACCACUCCACGUGUGUCUACGUUGUUAAUCCUAUCCGCACGAGACCAAGGACCGUGGUGUUCCUUCAGUCAUCAGAGCCAUAUCAUUUAGGUGCAUGGGCCUGGAAUUCGUCCAUCAGAGUGGUGACUAUGGAGUGAAUCUCAACUUCAAAUCUGUUUUAAUCUCAAGGCUGUCUUCCAGCUAUCCUGUCGCAAAACUUUCCUUCUUUCCUUCUUUCUCUAUCUGCAGUCUCUUACUCCCUGUGUGUUGAGUAUGUGGGAAUUUUUACAGCCCAGGCAAGUAAUCCUGUUAGGCAAGAUCAGGAAAUGCUAUAGUACUGGGGAAAUAGCUCAGGGAAUGAAUGGAAAAGGAAGUGUUUUUAAUAUGCAGUUUAGAAGCCCUACGGAAAACGAAGGCCAAACCUCUCAAUUACUCUUAACUGUCUAGAAUAGAUCAAAAGCCAGGUGCGAAUCAUGAAGCCUUUAUGGAAAGGCUGAGAGAGGCACUAAUAGAACACACCUCUUUAUCCCCUGAUCCAGUCAAGGGACAGCUUAUCCUGAAGGACAAGUUUAUUACACAGGCAACUCCCAAUAUUAGAAGAAAACUACAGAAGCAAGCUGUAGGACUGAAUAGCACUUUAGAGAACCUCCUGAAGGUGGCCACUUCAGUCUCAUAAUAGGGACCACGAGGAGGCCCAAAAGAAAGAGAGAAAGCUCAGGAGAAGGACAGAGGCUGUAGCAGAAGCUUUGCAGGCUUGCAAAGUCCAGGACCCCCGAGGUACAUCCGCUAGUUGCUAUUGGUGUGGCAGACUAGGGCAUUUUAUUUUAUUUUUUAUGUAUUUUUUUAUUACACUUUAAGUUCUAGGGUACAUGUGCACAACGUGCAGGUGUGUUACAUAUGUAUCCAUGUGCCAGGUUGGUGUGCUGCACCCAUUAAUGUGUCAUUUACAUUAGGUAUAUCUCCUAAUGCUCUCCCUCCCCUCUCCCCUCUCCCCACAACAGGCCCCGCUGUGUGAUGUUCCCCUUCCUGUGUCCAAGUGAUCUCAUUGUUCAAUUCCCACCUAUGAGUGAGAACAUGCGGUGUUUGGUUUUUUGUCCUUCCAAUAGUUUGCUGAGAAUGAUGGUUUCCAGCUUCAUCCAUGUCCCUACAAAGGACAUGAACUCAUCCUUUUUUAUGGCUGCGUAGUAUUCCAUGGUAUAUAUGUGCCACAUUUUCUUAAUUCAGUCUAUCAUUGAUGGACUUUUUUUGGGUUGGUUCCAAGUCUUUGCUAUCGUGAAUAGUGCUGCAAUAAGCAUAUGUGCAUGUGUCUUUAUAGCAGCAUGAUUUGUGAUCCUUUGGGUAUAUACCCAGUAAUGGGAUCACUGGGUCAAACGGUAUUUCUAGUUCUAGAUCCUUGAGGAAUCGCCACACUGUCUUCCACAAUGGUUGAACUAGUUUACAGUCCCACCAACAGUGUAAAAGUGUUCCUAUUUCUCCCAGGUCUCCCCUCUUCCUAUAGCCUGAUCGUAAUUGGCAUCUCAGGAAAAAUCCUAAUCCAAUGUUUUUCUCCACUUUGGUUGUAGUUAGGAGGACCUAUUUACAACAUGCUUCCAAGCCAUUGUCACGAUAGCUCUAUUAGUCAGAAAAGCCUCCAAGUUAACCCCAGGACAUAAUUGAACUGUUUACACCCCAUAUAAUGUGGCAGGAUCACCGUUCUCUGGUGGGAGCUCUUAGCUAGCAAACAGCCCGGCAAAGCAAGAAGUACGUAAGGCAGGAUAAGCAGUAGUCACUGUCCCCAAACAUAAGCACUCAAUUAGCUGAGCUAAUAGCUCUUACAAAAGCACUUAAAUUAAGCAAGGGAAAGGUAACUAACAUUUAUACUGGCUCCAAGUAUGCCUUCCUGAUUUUCCAUGCUCAUGCUGCCAUUGAAAAGGAAAAGAAUUUUCUUACCACUCAUGGAUCUACUAUAAAAUAUCACUAGGAAACUAGCAGAUUAUUAUCCUCAGUUUUUCUUGCAUGACAGAUAGCAGGGAUGCAUUAUAGUGAACAUUGAAAGGGAACAGAUGAGGUAGCCAAAGAAAAUAGAUGAGCUGAUCAGCCAGCUAAGUCAAAGGCGAGGAAGCCUCAAGGCACUAACACACUUCAAGCCCUUCUAAUCUAGGAGGUCUCCAUAAAAGAAAUUAAACCUCAGUAUUCCCCUGCAGAAAUAGAAUAGGCCACUUCUCAAGGGCAUACUUUUCAGCUCUCAGGAUGGCAAACUCUAUUUGCCAGCCUCCAGCCAAUGAAGGUCCUUAAAAUCCUUCACUGAGCUUUUCACUGGAGAAAGGAUAAAACUUAUCAGUGUGCUCAGAGAUUGUUUGCCGGCAGAAAACCUCUACAUUGGUUAAGCAUGUAACCUCUCUAGCUCACUUCCAACAAGAAUGAACACAACUAGCAGAAGCCCAAGCCCAGGAAAUAAAACCACCUUUCCUUAACCCAGGAAAUUUGGUAUUAGUGAAAAUUCUCCUCUCUCUCCUUCCAUAAGCCAACCUGGGAAGGGACCGCCACUGUUCUUCUUUCAAUCUUCUCAGCAGUAAAAGUUAUAGGAAUCAGCUCCUGGAUACAUCACACUCAAUUCAAAGCCUGAAGGGCUGAGGGAGCAACCCUUGUCAGCCCAGAGGAACACCCUGAAUAUCAAUGUGAAGAAGUAGAAGAUCUUAAGCUAAACACCAUAAAAGAUAAGAAACUGAGUGAAGGACUAUUCAUCUUCCUGAGUCCCACCUUUACCUCAACAGAUACUUUUUGUCAUUUCUGUCCUUUCAUCUCAAAAUUUGCCACCAAAUAUUAGAACUUCUUCUUAAUGCAUAUUUGCAGGGAGAUUUAAUUAUUCAUAGAAUCGCAUCUGUAACUUUGUAAAUCUCCAAAGGGAAAUAUUAUAUCUGGGCAAGUAGAGUUUUAAAUGACAAUUAUUUACCAUGCCACUCUUGGGAAAAUUGUU